rnacentral:rRNA from 1 species
GACGAACGCUGGCGGCGUGCUUAACACAUGCAAGUCGAACGGAAAGGCCCGGCUUUUGUGGGGUGCUCGAGUGGCGAACGGGGGAGUAACACGUGAGUAACCUGCCCCUGACUGUGGGAUAACUCCAGGAAACUGGGGCGAAUACCGGAUAGGAUCUCCUGCUGCAUGGUGGGGGUUGGAAAGUUUCGGCGGUUGGGGAUGGACUCGCGGCUUAUCAGCUUGUUGGUGGGGUAGUGGCUUACCACGGCUUUGACGGGUAGCCGGCCUGAGAGGGUGACCGGCCACCUUGGGCCUGCGAUACGGCCCAGACUCCUACGGGCGGCAGCAGUGGAGAAUCUUGCACAAUGGGCGCACGCCUGAUGCAGCAACGCCGCGUGCGGGAUGACGUCCUUCGGGUUGUAAACCGCUUUCGCCUGUGACGAAGCGUGAGUGACGGUACUGGGUAAAGAAGCACCGGCUAACUACGUG